rnacentral:tRNA from 1 species
GGCGGAGUAGCUCAGUGGUAGAGCAACCGGCCCAUACCCGGUAUGUCGCAAGUUCGAUCCUUGCCUCCGCCACCA